GGCGACGUAGCCAAGAUGGAUAAGGCAGGGGUCUGCAAAACCCCGAUCGCCGGUUCGAGUCCGGCCGUCGCCUCUA
rnacentral:tRNA from 1 species